UGCCUGUGCAGAAGGCUGGGGCUGACGCCGCGCCAAGAGUGGAGGGCUCUGCGGGCUCCAGAGCCUCUCGCCGGGAAGCUGCUCCCCAGGCACCCACCCACGCGCACACGGCCCUCAGGAGCCCUGGCGGAGGGCGGGCUGGGUGUGCACAUGCGUGUGUGUGUGUCCAAGAGUGUGCGCGGAAACGCUAAGUGACUUGUACAAGCUCAUCCUGCAGGGCCGGGGGAGAGCUGAGCCCGAGGAGGGACUGAGCCCAAGGAAGGACUUCCUCUCCUGGCCCUGAGGGUGGUUGGACCCACAGCUGCAGAUGAAGUUCUUGGCCACACAGAAAAUUGGGGCUGACCCCCACCCGUGCAGGCCCCAGGUUGGAAGUGGGCCACAUACAUGGGAACUGUCCACUGAAGUACAGGUGACCUCAGAGGAGGACCAAGGUGAUCCGGCUGGGGCAAGGACAGCAUCUGUAGCCCGCGUGUCCACAGGGAGCAUCUGAGUCCUGGAGAAGUGUGGUGGUUUCUGGGCCGGGAAAGUAGGGCUAGGGUGGAGAGUGUGGGUGUGGGGGAGGAGGAUGCCGUAAACCCUGCCCUGCCCUGCCCUGGGGGUCUCACUCACAGGCACAGAGCUGGACAGCAUUUUCACUAACGUAAUCUUUCUACUUGCCUGGAAGAAUCUGAGGAAGGUUAUCUGAGCCUAGUCUCACCAGAUGCCACGCAAUUCAGUAUGGCCUUGCUGAGGGUUCUCUCCAUGGCCCCCAGCCUGUGAGGGACACACAAUAUUUACUAACUCACUGGUGGCUGAGUCAUCAUCCACUCGUUCAUUUAUUCCACAAAGACGGCUCUGAUCACACCCGCGGCAAGUGGCCGGCACUCCCUGGAGCUCCAGGCAUCUUGUCUCUCGCAUGCACCAGGCUCUCUGCAGCAGAUGCUCUUGGGUGUUCCUGUGGGCAGGGCACACCCCGUCCUCCACACAGCCCAGCUCCCAGCUCGGUGCCUGACCUAGGCCAGCCCUUGGUGAAGAGCAGGGAAACGGACGGCAGACAUGGGGGCAGGCAUGGGGCGCAGAGGGGACCCCACCUGCCUCCCACAAGCUGCCCGUAGCUGGAGGGCUGUUCAUAAAUAAUUCGAGCUCAGGUGUGAGGGGUGUAUCGCUUCCCUCAUCCCAGUGGGGCUGCAACACACAAGGGUGAAACUGACUUCAGCGACAGGAGCCCGGGGUGGGGGAGGGCCGGAUGUCCUGAGUCCCGGGGUCACAGAUGUCUCGGAUGGUGGGAUAUUCUCAGAGCCCUCAAGCCACGUGGAAAACACAUCCUGAGCCUUUCCAGCAGGAAGAGCAGGUGAAGAAGGUUGGAGAACCUAGAUGCCAGAUUGAGGCUUAGCUCUGUUCUCUGCUGGCAACUGGCAAGCCGUUUAAUGUCUCUGAGCCUCAGUUUCCCAUUUGUAAAAUGGGAACCAUGGCAGUGCCUACCCCUCAGGUUGCUGUGAAGACUAAACGAGAUGAUAUAGGUAAAGGGGACGGAACAGGGCCUGGUGUAUAGUAGAUAAGUAUUUGUUAUUUUUAGCAUUUAUUUCUUCAUUCUUUCCUUCCCACAAGUGUUUGUCAAGCACAAACUAUGUGCUAGGCCCUGGGGAUGUAGCUGAAAGUAAGGAUCCCAGUGCCUUGGAGCAUAUUGGUUCCAGCCCAAGAUACCUACUGCAGCAGCUGCUCUGUGGGUGACGUGAGUUCCAGGGCAUGAGCCUGAUUUUUAAAUUGCAAAGUAAUAAUGAUGAUACCAAAUCUGGGGCCAGGAUGGGAAGCAGGUAUCCUUCUCCCCAAAGGCCUCCCGGCAGCUGGCUGAGAGACACAUUCUAUGUGGGAGGCAGGAGGCAGGAGCCCCAAGUGUUGGAGCCGUGGGUCCCCUGAAUGCAGAGAGAAGAUAGCUGGAUUCCCAUAUCUGCUUCUGCAUCCAGUCUGUUGUGAUAUCACGUGUCAUGUCGCCUCUGGAAAGUGCCACUCUACACUUAGAAGUUCAAGAAUGAGAAGAAAAAGGCGGAUAAUGUCUCAGUGUUAUUAUGAAAAUAUUUUUGACCUUGUGGAUCCCCCAGGGAUUCCUUGGCCACACUUUGAGAACUGCUGCACUAUGCCAUUAAUGUUCAUUGAUGACACAUCAAUAUACACAAUGUAUCACCACUACACAUUUUAUAAAGUCUCAGGCAUAUUCAAGGCUGUAUAUCAAAUACAUUGACUCAGCCCCUGUGGAAUACAGGAAGGGAAUGGGAUAAAAGGGGGAAUGAAAUAAAUAAGAUAAAGCAAGAAAGAAUCUG
rnacentral:lncRNA from 1 species